UGUUUAUAUACCAACCAAUCAAUAAGAACUUUUUUAUCUUGUAAUGAUGCCAUUUGAUGAUGAUGUCAUCAUUAUGUCAUUUAUCCCAUAUGAUGAUCAGUAUUGGUCAAAUUAGCUGUCAAUCAUCUCUAAUGAUAUUGAUUGUAAAGGCAAAUUCAUGAUGACAUCAUUAUCUGACCCUAACCCUACCAUAUGAUCAUAAAUGGAUCAUCAGCUUCAGGUCAUGCCUGUUGUCCAGUAGAAUAGAGUUUUGUUACAUGGCUGUGACAUCAUCAUGACAUCACUGAUCAGGUGACAUCUUAUGAUGGGGAAUCAUUUUCUGAUCGAUAUAAUCUUUAGAUUUUCUCUGGUGUUUACACACACACACUGAAAUCCUUCCUAACAUUCCUCGCUAAGUAAAAGUCCUGUUGACUAGAUUUUGUUAGACAGGACAUUAACAGACUGAAUGCUUUGGUGUGCUACAUUAGCCAAUGUCCCAGAUUACCUGAAUUCACGCUACACACGUGUAAUCAGUCAUGAAUGAUCAGUUCUCUUCAUCCCCAUGAGCCUGGAGAAAUGUAUUAAUGUUGAAUGUUUAAAUUCACACAUUUACACACUGACACACUCAAAAGAAGAAGUUACAUUCAGUAGAUGCUGGUAAUGCACCUUGACAUUGAUUGCCAUGGUUACUGGGACUGGCUUUGUGGUUACUAUGGAGACCCUGUGUCACUACUGAGCCGGACUGGCUGGGCGGUUACCAUCGGGAUCUUGGGGCAGAACCUGAUGCAUUAUCCCCAUCAAGCUCCUUUGGUCUUUGAUCCUCUCGCCCCUCCUCAGGAAGUACUGGUUGCACAUGAAGUUGGUGCAGGGUGAGGUGAUAUAUAUAUUAUAUGUAUAUAUAUAUUACCUGCUCACACCCGCUCAGGAGGACGCAUUGGCACAAAGAGUGACACGGCAACCUCCAAGGAAUCGUACACAAGUAUUUUAAUCAAUCUUUAUCUUAUUAUUACUUAUCUUUAAUUGUUUUUACUGUACUUUAUAUUUAAUUCAUCUUUAUUUGUUUUUAUUGAUCAUUAUUUAUUGUCAUUUAUCUUGAUUAAUUUUUGUUUAUUUGAGCCCAAGCAGCGACUGCUGGUUUUGAAUUUAUUAUUUUUUUCUCCUCCAUAUGAAUCGUAUAUUUGGCCUAAAAUGACUUUUGCUGAAACUUUGCACAAAAUUCAGAUCUGUAAAAAAUUUACAUGAAAUGGUUUUCUCCAUGAAACAGGAAGUAGUUCAGUAGACAUUAUCCGAUCUGCACCAAACUUCACAUGUUUGAUAAGAGUCUCGCCGUAUACGCAUCUACAUGCCAAUAUUUAAUCAUUGUCAGCUCCCCCUACUGGUAACAAGAAAUGAAAUGUUUUGUAGGGUGAUGUACUCCUCCUAGCAGGUCAACCACAUCCAUCUGAAAUUUAGUCAGAAGACCUUUGGUUGAUGAUGAUUAUAAAUCUUGUGUGGUUUUGUUCAAUGCUGUUGCUGUGGGAAUGCACCAAAAGUUGAUGUUUAGUUUUUAUAAUUGAUCAUGUUUUUGGGAGGUUAAACAUGUGGUAAGUUUCUACAGAUUACAGAUACAGACACUUUGACACUCCAGGAGCAGACAGACAGACUAUCAACAGACAUGGCUCUAAAAAAUAACCUCUUGGACGUGGGCAUUCUGAACAUUAACAAUGUUUUAUGUGCAUUUAAAGCCAACAGCACAAUGGAAGACUCUUUUUUUUUAACUUGUCUUUUGAAAUUGACUGGUUUUUAAUGGAGUUUGAAAAACAUCAAGCUUUACAAGGUGACUGUCACUACCUCCUCAAAGAGUUCCCCCGACCUUCUGGAGCCACAUUUUCUCAAGAAACACCUGGACCACAAGAAAUACACUGAUGACAUCAUUGUCCUCCAAAAUGCAGUGGGACAUACACUGAGGGGACACUUCAAGGUUCAACAUGUCGGUUAUGUGGUACUCUGAUCAGCCCAUGAGACGAGAGCACACUGUCACUGAUUCUGUUUUCUUGGUCAUCGUCCUCUCGAGUCUCUGCAGCUGAAUGAUGCACGACAAAGGGAAUUCCUGUGAACUGAGUGAUGGCGCCGUACUCGACUGUUUUAUCUGCUCAUCGUCUUCUCACUCGUCAACAGCAGCUUCAUCUCUGAGGUCAGUAACAAACAUCGAGUUCACAUAAAUCCUCAAAAACUGAAAAACAAGUAUUUCAUGAAUAUAACUAAUACAAGUUUGACUUAGAAAGAUGUUGUGCAUAGAGGCUUAAGAUAAUAAAAUAAUGGUGUGUUAAAAUAACUUAUU